UACGAAGGGGGCUAGCGUUGCUCGGAAUUACUGGGCGUAAAGCGCACGUAGGCGGCUUUCUAAGUCGGGGGUGGAAAUCCUGGAGCUCAACUCCAGAACUGCCUUCGAUACUGGAAGCUCGAGUCCGGGAGAGGUGAGUGGAACGUGCGAGUGUAGAGGUGAAAUUCGUAGAUAUUCGCAAGAACACCAGUGGCGAAGGCGGCUCACUGGCCCGGUACUGACGCUGAGGUGCGAAAGCGUGG
rnacentral:rRNA from 1 species